rnacentral:rRNA from 1 species
AGCUCCAAUAGCGUAUAUUACAGCCGCUGCGGUUGAAAACCUCGUAUUUGGAUUUCUGCUGAGGACGACUGGUCUGCCCUCUGGGUGAGUAUCUGGUUCGGCCGAAGCGUAUUAUUGGAGGUUGCAAGCGCACUUCAUUGUGUGGUGCAACCGACUGGAACCUUACUUUGAGGAACUUAGAAUGUUCAAGGGAGGCGUACGCCUCUCAUAGGUUAAAAUGUGGUAAUGUUGUAAGGCCAUGGUAUUGACGUGUUGGUUUCUACCACAUAAGGUAAUGAUAAACAGGGAUUGUUGGGGGCAUUCGUAUUGAACUGUCAGAGGUGAGAUUAUUAAUUUUGUUAAAGACGAACGACUGCGAACAAACAAUUGUCACGGAUGUUUUCA